rnacentral:piRNA from 1 species
UUCGAUUUUUUCUUUCAAUAG